UACGUAGGGUGCAAGCGUUGUCCGGAAUUAUUGGGCGUAAAGAGCUCGUAGGCGGUCUGUCGCGUCGGCUGUGAAAUCCCGAGGCUCAACCUCGGGUCUGCAGUCGAUACGGGCAAACUAGAGUAUUGCAGGGGAGACUGGAAUUCCUGGUGUAGCGGUGAAAUGCGCAGAUAUCAGGAGGAACACCGGUGGCGAAGGCGGGUCUCUGGGCAAUAACUGACGCUGAGGAGCGAAAGCGUGGGGAGGCAAACAGG
rnacentral:rRNA from 1 species